UAGGGAAUAUUGCUUAAUGGGCGAAAGCCUGAAGCAGCAACGCCGCGUGAACGAAGGAGGCCUUCGGGUCGUAAAGUUCUUUUACGUGGGAUGAGGAAGGACAGUACCACGAGAAUAAGUCUCGGCUAACUACGUGCCAGCAGCAGCGGUAAAACGUAGGAGACGAGCGUUAUCCGGAUUUACUGGGCGUAAAGAGCGUGUAGGAGGCGCUACAAGUUGGAUGUAAAAGCUCCCGGCUUAACCGGGAGAGGUCGUUCAAGACUGUAGAGCUAGAGGAAGGCAGAGGUAGAUGGAACUCCGGGAGUAGUGGUGAAAUGCGUAGAUAUCCGGAAGAACACCAGAGGCGAAAGCGAUCUACUGGACCUUAACUGACACUGAGGCGCGAAAGCCAGGGUAGCAAACA
rnacentral:rRNA from 1 species